GUCUCCCCUGGACUAUUGUGUCUUCUACCUGAAAGUCAAGCCUUCAUGCUGUCUUCUCUCCAUUCCAACCUCCAUGGGAAGAAGAGAUAAUAACAUUUUCUGGCUGUAUAAAAAAAAAGUACCAGGAAUUUUUUGUUGAUUGCAGAAAUAACAGUUCUUCCUGGAUCAGCCCUCUCCCGUCUGUCAUCUCCAACAGAUACAAAGCCAGCUUUAAGAAGACCAAACCUACAAAAAUCGUUCAUGCUUUCUGCCUCCAUGUUUUUCUUUCCAACCUAGUUCCUCCAGAAAAUGUAAAAGAGCAACCGAACCGUCAACUGGUACAAUGACUUCUACACGUCAGACCUCGGCCACGCCACAGUCAUCAGAUUAUUCUAUCACAGGGUCUCUCAACUGUGGAAUAUGGUCUCCAAGGGAAACAAGCCAGAGAGGGCUCAGGAGCACUGCUAUAAAGAAUGAAGGCAAUGAAACUGAACCAGGAUUUGAACUCAAAUAUCAUCAAUGGAAAAACUCAGACCCAUUUCACAAAACCACCUUGGCUUCCAAGUCAUAUUCUAGAGAUAAACCGAAAAGGUUUAAUAGUAAUCAAGAGAGCAUGCAAAGCUGGAGAAAGCACAAGUCUAGGAGAUACAGGAAAUAA
ensembl:lincRNA